rnacentral:rRNA from 1 species
UACAGAGGCCACAAGCGUUAGACGGAAUCACUGGGCUUAAAGCGUGUGUAGGCGGACUUGUAAGUACCUUGUGAAAUCCCACGGCUCACCCGUGGAACUGCUGGGUAUACUGCGAGUCUUGAGCCACUUAGGGGCUGUCGGAACAGGCGGUGGAGCGGUGAAAUGCGGUAGAUAUCGCCUGGAACGCCAAAGGUGAAAACAGACAGCUGGGAGUGUGCUGACGCUGAGACACGAAAGCCAGGGGAGCGAACGGG